CAGAGAAUAGUUAAAUUAGAAUUCUGGCUUUGGGAGCCAGGGGUGGGAGUUAGAAUCUCCUUUCUCUGA
rnacentral:tRNA from 1 species